rnacentral:snoRNA from 1 species
AGCUGUGUUCAGAGCAGUCUGCCUGCAGAAAUGACUCAUCUGUGUGCGACACGCCACAGGACUCUGGGUUCACCGUGACAAGGAGCCCGAGACCUGUGGCCGUCCCAUGAGCACCCUGCACGU